UAUGUGCUUGAAAAAAUAGGCACUGCUUCAUCUUCCCCAGCAAGCCAAGCCUUCCUCCAGCCCCAGGACCUUCCCCCUUGUUCCCUUGCCAUGGUGGAGGCAGUGAGGUGGGACAGAGUGGCCUAUAAGAAGUCCUCACUCCUUGAUCGAUGGCCUAUGAAGAAGCGUGAGAGAGGCGUCAGUUCAUCACAUCUCACACCAAAGCCUUUGCAAUGACAUCAUGGAAACUGGAACAGGAUGGAAGUUCACCCAGGCUGGACAGACCCUUUAGAUGCUACUGUUGGAGAAAUCUGUUGAUCAAAGUCUCUCACUGAACUUGGGUUCACCAUUUUUGUUACGCUGGUUGGCCAGCAAGCUCCAGGAUCUUCCUCCCUCCCUGACUCGCAGCUCUGGGUUAUAGACUUCUAUCGUCAUGGGUAAGUAGAAGCAUGUGUCUUCCAACCCAAUGUUACAGCUUUAUUGGAACCCGAGAACACCCAGGACCAAUGGCCAAGGAGCUUCCCACGCACAUCCAGAACUAGUCAUCAACCAGCCCGAAGCCGAAGCAGAACCAACGUGAGCCCUGCACACCUGCCCAUCUCAAGAAGCGCCCUUCUCUUUAAACAGUAACUAUUCUCAUUAUCUGAGCUCAGCAUUUGACUAAUCCUCAUUACAACUCGAAUGUGGUGUUAUUGCCGGGCAUGAGGAUGGAUUAAAAAUAAUUUGCCUUCAGUGAUACAACGUUUUCUUUAAAGACUAAUUUGACCUUGAGAAGAGGCACUGCUCUCACAGGCAUAUCCGAUCACGGAGGGAUGGAGCCUGUGGGAGAAGAUCAAGUUUGGCAGGGUAUGGAAAGAAAGAAAACGCCAGAGGAGUUUUACUUCUCUCAUCAAGUAAUGACAAUGACUGAUCAGCUACGGCCAUCAUCUUGAGGAGAAAGGGAGGAUGUAGGGUCCUGCCUUGCCUGUCUCCAGUGAGGAAAAUAACAGCUCUCCAUCCUGUUCCCCACCUCCUUUGAGACUCACAGUGGGUUUGUGCCCAGGACUGACUCCAUGGACACUUUGUUCCAGGGAACUAUGAAGUCGAACAGAAGUUACAGAUCAAGAUGUGUAACUCUCAGCUCCUUCUCCAGCACCAUGUCUGCCUGCACACUGCCAUGUCCCACCAUGAAGACUGAGUCUCUUACUGACCUGAAGUUCACCACGUGAGGCUGAGUUGACUGAACUGUAAGCUCCAGGGGUCCACCUUGCCACCACCAUGUGCUGAAAUAAGGGUGUGCUACCACCACACCAAGCUUUUUAAAUGUGAGCUCUGCGGCUCAAACUCAGGUCCUUGGGCUUGCAAGGAAAGUGCUUUGCUGAUGAGUCGUUUCCCCAGGCUUCAAUCCCAUUCAUAAAAACUGUCUUUAUCUCCA